AUUUCUGGAAACUGUUUUUUGAGCAGAUAAUCGAUUAUCACUUACAAUAAUCGAUUAUCAUGCGAGCAGAUUCAAAAAUAGAGCCAUUACAACGUCUUCAAACGGCUAUAAACGACCAUAAACGACUAGUUUCUCGGUUUCUAUUAUAAAUAGCCCCCUAUAAUCGAUUAAUAGUUACUCCUUUGCACCCAAAACACUCCUCAACUUCAAUCUACACCAAAUUUCUUCAUUUCCUUUAAUCUCUAUUCACAUAUAAAUCUCAAUGGCUGACAGUAGAAGACCACAUAGAAGGACAGAUGAAGCUUCAUCUUCCAGACCACGUGCCCCU
rnacentral:lncRNA from 1 species